rnacentral:lncRNA from 1 species
CUCUCUCUCUCUCUCUCUCCCCGCUUAGGCCAGACGCGAACCAUUGCUCCGAUUCGUGCAGGCUUCUAUUGCUUCCCGACUCGGCUCAUUUAGUUGGAAAUUUGAGAUUUCGAUUUGAGGAAGACGACGCAGCGGGGGACUUUGAGAUGUAGUAACGGAGGCGAAAGUGGUGAGAUUAAAGAAGAGCUUGAUAUUGGGACCAUCAAAGAAGAGAUUCACAUAGAAACGGG